AGGUAAUUAGUCUAAAAAAGAUAUUUGACUUCGGCUCAAAAGUUCGUGGUUAAAAUCCGCAAUUGCCUG
rnacentral:tRNA from 1 species